UAGCGGCCCCAGCUGUGUGGCCACCAGUAACUAAGAUCGGCCCGCGACAUUUGUCUGGUGGCUUCGUGUUUUUACUAUGUGCCAGAAUUUCAUUUACAAUGGACAAAACUGAGGCCAGGAGAGGAGGAGACUUGCCCAGUGUCGCUCAAGGUGUAGGGUAUGAUGUAAACUCACUUCUAGGGGAGUGGAGCUGUCGUUUGUCACUGACCCUUUCUUAAUGGGGUCUUGGCCAAAGGGCAGAGCUUCUCUGAACCUGUUUUCUCCUCGCGAUUGUCUGUUGGAAUUUUCUGCACGCUUCCUUCAGCGAGUGUGGUGCUUCCUUCUCCCGGCGGCGGAGGGCGGCCAGCUCUGGACCCCAAGGACACCCGAAUCCCCUGAUAGAUGAUGCGCUGCCCGGACUGGCCCACCCUCUCGUGGCUGACCGCCGCCCAGGCUCGCUAGGUCCCUGCGUAGGAGGCAGCAGGCCCAGAGCUAGAACAAAAAACGAGGGUAAAAGAAGUUUUAUGGCGCAUUGUAUAACCUCAGAGGUGGCUGGAUCCAGCAGUCUGGCGAUAUCACCAGGAAUCUCUCAGCUUUUUCCUGUGUCACCCCCAUUCUCUGGCAAACUCUUUCUGGGCAGCGUCACCCGCAAGCUCUGGGUUCAUAUUCCAGCAGCUCCUGCAGGAAGAUGGAACCUUUUUCUCAGUAAUUGCAGACGAUGUCCCAAGGCUGGUUCUUAUGAGCCUGCUUGGGAAACGGCAGAUUUGGCUCCUCUCAUAUGAAGACAUAUGCUGCAUAGGCUGAAAUGGAAAGAAGAGGAUCCCCAAAAGAGAAUAACCAGGAUUCUGUGACCAGAGGAGAUGCUGGGUAGCAAGAACUGCUGGCCUCCCUCCCAUUCUGCUGAACCUCUGCUGAGAGGCCUCCUGGAUUCCCUGUGUGUUCCUGUCUGCCCCUCUGGGGAAAACUGAACUCCUUUUCUUGACUGAUAAGAAAAUUCACAUAACAUAAAAUUAUCCAUUAAAACAUACAGUGCAGUGGCAUUUAGUGCACUCACCAGGUUGUGUAACCACCACCUCUAUCUAAUGCCACAUUUUCAUCUCUCCUAAAAUAAGCCCCAUCCCCAUCAGCAGCCCCUCCCCAGCCCCUCCCAGCCACAAAUCCACUUCCUGUCUCUGUGGACUUGCCUGUUCUGGACAUUCCACACACAUGGAAUCACCCUGCGGCCUUGUUUACCUGGCUUCUCAGUGAGUAUCAUGUUUUCAGGGUUCAUUCACGUCAUAGCAAAUGUCAGUGCUUCACUCCUUUUUCAGCUCCAGUUGACAUUCAACAUUGUAUUAGUUUCACAUGUGCAGCAUAGUAGUUAGACAUUUAUAUGACUUACAAAAUGAUCCCCCCAUAAGUCUGGUACCCACCUGGCACCACACAUCGUUAUUACAGGUGCCUCACCCCUUUUCACAGCUAAAAUUCUAGGGCCUGGAUGGGCACACUGUGUUUGUCCAUUUCAUCUGUGGAUUGAUUCUUUUGAAAUUUCUACUUUAUUGACAUAUAUUUGACAUACACAAAUACAUAUAUUUAAAACACACAGGUUGGUAUUAGGACAUGUGCAUGUCUCUGAAUCCAUCACCACCACUGAUAUGAUGAAUGCCUCCCCCACCCCUUCCCAGCCAGCCAUCACUCAUCUGCUCUCCGCUGCUAUCAAUUAGUUUGCAUUUUCUAGACCUUUCCAGAAAGGGAAUCAUAUAGUUUGUUCUCUUUGGUAUCUGGCCUCUUCCACAGAGCGUAAGUAUUCUCAGAGUCAUCCAGUCGUUGUGUCUGUCAUCCUUCUGUUGCUGAGUUGUAUUCCUUGCUAUGUGUGGACCUGUGUGUUCACUCACCCGUUGAAAGACAUGCUGGUUGUUCCCAGGUUUUUCUAUUACAAAUGAAGCUGCAGUGGAUGGUCAUGUCCACA